CUCACCAUCAGAGUCUCACCUCCCACCCUUUCCUAAUACACAGACAUAAGGAGACUUACCUUGCACCCCCUCCUAAUACACAGACAUAAGGAGACUUACCUCGCACCCACUCCUAAUACACAGGCAUAAGGAGACUUACCUCCCACCAUCUCCUAAUAUACAGACAUAAGGAGACUUACCUCCCACCCUCUCCUAAUACACAGACAUAAGGAGACUUACCUCCCACCCUCUCCUAAU